rnacentral:rRNA from 1 species
GGAGUAUGUGGUUUAAUUCGAUGCAACGCGAAGAACCUUACCCGGUCUUGACAUCCCGGAGACCCUUAGGAAACUAGGGGUGCUUCCAUCUGGAAGAAUCUGGAGACAGGUGCUGCAUGGCUGUCGUCAGCUCGUGUCGUGAGAUGUUGGGUUAAGUCCCGCAACGAGCGCAACCCUUGCCUUUAGUUGCCAGCAGUUCGGCUGGGCACUCUAAAGGGACUGCCGGUGUUAAACCGGAGGAAGGUGGGGAUGACGUCAAGUCCUCAUGGCCUUUAUGACCAGGGCUACACACGUACUACAAUGGCCGAUACAAAGGGCAGCGACACUGCGAGGUGAAGCCAAUCCCGUAAAAUCGGUCUCAGUCCGGAUUGGAGUCUGCAACUCGACUCCAUGAAGUUGGAAUCGCUAGUAAUCGUGGAUCAGCAUGCCACGGUGAAUACGUUCCCGGGCCUU